rnacentral:rRNA from 1 species
UACGGAGGGUGCGCGCGUUGUUCGGAAUCACUGGGCGUAAAGGGCGUGUAGGCGGUCCGCUAAGUCUGAUGUGAAAGCCCGGGGCUCACCCCCGGAAGUGCAUUGGAAACUGGCGAACUCGAGUCCCGGAGAGGAGAGUGGAAUUCCUGGUGUAGCGGUGAAAUGCGUAGAUAUCAGGAGGAACACCGGUGGCGAAGGCGGGUCUCUGGGCCGAUACUGACGCUGAGGAGCGAAAGCGUGGGGAGCGAACAGG